GAUGAACGCUGGCGGCGUGCCUAAUACAUGCAAGUCGAGCGAACAGACGAGGAGCUUGCUCCUCGGACGUUAGCGGCGGGCGGGUGAGUAACACGUGGAUCCUCUACCUAACAGACUGAGAUAUCUUCGGGACAGCGGCGCAAAUACCGGAUAAUAUAUUGCACCGCAUGGUGGGAUGGUGAGAGACGGCUGUGCUGUCACGUCUAGAGGGAUCCGGGCGGCAUUAGCUGGUUGGUAGGGUCACGGCUUAUGACGGCAACGAGGCGUGGCCGACCGGAUAGGCGGAUCGCCCACACUGGAGCGUGGACACGGACCAGACUCCUACGGUACGCAGCAGUAUGGAAUCUUCCGCAGUAGGCGAAAACCUUGCGGAGCAACGCCGCGUGAGUGGUGAAGGUCUUCCGAGCGUAAAACUCUGUUAUUGGUUAAGAACAACUGUGGAAGUAGCUAUGCACGUCUUGACGGUACCGAGUCAGAAAGCCACGGCUAACUACGUG
rnacentral:rRNA from 1 species